CCAGGAACAGUAAGGUGGAGGCACCUAGGACAUAGAGAAGAAUGGAAGGGGGUCCCCGAGCCAUUUUGGCGUGACAAUCAAAUGUUGGGAGGAGUCGGAGGGGGUUGUUAUAAAAUGUAGCCAUGAGAGUGCCGCUUUAAGGUUAAAGGCAGGGUUAGUUAGCGGGUACAUUGAUUAAAGGUAGGAUUAGUUAGGGGGUAUAUUGAUAAAAUUUAGGGUUAGUUAGGGGGUACAUUGAUAAAAGAUAGGGUUAGUUAGUGGGUACAUUGAUAUAAGGUAGGGUUAGUUAGCUGGUACAUUGAUAAAAGGUAGGGUUAGUUACAGGGGUACAUUAAUAUAAGGUAGGGUUAGUUAGGGGGUACAUUGAUAAAAGGUAGGGUUAGCUAGGGGUACACUGAUAAAAGGUGGGAAUAGUUAGGGG